rnacentral:tRNA from 1 species
AUUCCUUUAGUNUUAAUAAGUACAGUUGACUUCCAAUCAACCAGCUUCGGUAUAGCCCGAAAAGGAAUA